rnacentral:rRNA from 1 species
GACGAACGCUGGCGGCGUGCCUAAUACAUGCAAGUAGAACGCAGUUGCGAACGGGUGAGUAAAGCGUAGGUAACUGCCUGGUAGCGGGGGAUAACUAUUGGAAACGAUAGCAAAUACCGCCUACUACCAGAUGGACCUGCGUUGUAUUAGCUAGUUGGUGAGGUAACGGCUCACAAAGGCAACGAGACAUAGCCGAACUGGUAGGGGGAUCGGCCCAACUGGGAGUGUGACACGGCCCAGCCUACUAGUGGCGGCAGCAGGAGGGAAACUGCGGCAAGGGGGGGAGCCCUGACCGAGCAACUCCGCGUGAGUGAAGAAGGUUUUCGGAUCGGAAAGCUCUGUUUUUAAGGGAGCGGUACUUGACCAGAAAGGGACGGCUAACUACGUGCCAGCAGCCGCGGUAAUUC